CUAAUGUCAAAUCAGCAUUUAGGUCAUGAAAUAUUUUUUUACAGAAAUAAUUUUGGCCGUUUCAUUGAUGAUCAGUUUUUUAAUUGCCUUUUAGCACUAUUUUCUUUGUUUUGCAUUGCUUUUCUGGUAAAAAGUCUGCCACUCAGGUAUAGUAUGAUAACGCUGAGGUCCAUCCUAAUUACUCUAUUAAUGCCUACGGGAGAUAUUCGCUAAUUAUAGCUUACCUGUGUUGUCAUAGGUAUCUGACAGUAGUGAUCAAGCUCAGAACUAAUAUUAUAAAGAAAUUCUAUUCCUUGACAAGUUACUUCAUUAUCUAAUAACUUUUCAGCAAAGACAAUCGCCAAUUCCUGAGAAAUGUACAGUUUUUAUUCAUUAAAACUCUUUUGAUUUUAAUCCAUUGCAUUCCAUAAAUUGUUCUUGAAUGUUUUUAGAAAUUUCAUGAAGAAUAAAAUGCUUCGCUGGGGCGCAGCUUGAUACGACUGCAGAGGUCGAACCCUGGACAGUUGGGGCAAGUAUGGACACAACAUUCAAGCUUGAUACAGCUCUGAAUUUGGAUUGUGAUUAAAUAUUUGACACAGCAUAGGUUUCUGACACAGAAUGAAUGUGGUCUAAGAACUUAAAAAUUUUAAAUUUACCUAUUAUGGUCCAAUAUCCAAAAUCUAAAUACAUGGUUAGAUUCAGCAUAUCAAAGAAUCCAAAGAAUUCAAUUUUUGAUUAAAUCAAACAAAGUUUAAUUUUGGAUCCUUUUGACCUCAAUGUGGACCAAUUUGAUAACUGGGCCCAAAAAUCAAAAUACAUGUUUAGAUUCAGCAUAUCAAAGAACCCAAAGAAUUCAAUUUUUGUUAAAAUCAAACUAAGUUUAAUUUUGGACCCUUUGGACCUUAAUGUAGACUAAUUUAAAAAACGGGACCCAAAAUUAAAAAUCUAAAUACACGGUUAGAUUUGGCAUAUCAAAGAACCACAAUAAUCAAAUUUUGAUGAAAUAAAACAAAGUUUAAUUUUGGACCCUUUUGACCUCAAUAUGAACCAAUUUGAUAGCGGGGCCAACAAAUAAAAAAUCUAAAUACAUGAUUAGAUUCAGCAUAUCAAAGAACCCCACAUAUUCAAUUUUUGUUGAAAUCAAACAAAUUUUAAUUUUGGACCCCAAUUUGGACCAACUUGAAAACUGGGCCCAAAAUCAAAAAUCUAAAUACAUGUUUAGAUUCAGCAUAUCAAAGAACCCCAUAUAUUCAAUUUUUGUUAAAAUCAAACUAAGUUUAAUUUUGGACCCUUUGGACCCUAAUGUAGACCAAUUUGAAAACUGGACCCAAAAUUAAAAAUCUAAAUACACGGUCAGAUUUGGCAUAACAAAUAAAUAAAUGUGGUCAAAGAUUUUACAAAUCUAAUGCGCCAUACUGUGCAAUUAAAGAUUACUUCUUGAAAUUUUUCAAUAUUUGAAAUUUGAAAAAAAAAUAAUAUUUGAAGAAUAAUUCUUUUUAAUUUCUGAAAUCUGAAAUGAGAAAAAAUUGACCCCCCACAAUUUCUUUUUACCCCCCCCCCCCCCCCCCCCCCCCCCCAC